GAAAUGCGAUAAGUAAUGUGAAUUGCAGAAUUCAGUGAAUCAUCGAAUCUUUGAACGCACAUUGCGCCCGCCAGUAUUCUGGCGGGCAUGCCUGUUCGAGCGUCAUUUCAACCAUCAAGCCCCCGGGCUUGUGUUGGGGACCUGCGGCUGCAGCAGGCCCCGAAAACCAGUGGCGGGCUCGCUGUCACACCGGGCGUAGUAGAUUUUUCGUCUCGCCCAGGGCGUGCUGCGGGUUCCGGCCGUUAAAAAGCCUCUCUUUUUAACCCAAGGUUGACCUCGGAUCAGGUAGGAAGACCCGCUGAACUUAAGC
rnacentral:misc_RNA from 1 species